rnacentral:lncRNA from 1 species
UCAGGGGAGCUCCAAUCUGACAGUUUAGAGGGCAUCAAACUUGGGGAAUUAGCAGCACCAGAAAGGCAGGACCGAUGGCCAACUCCACCACUACGGUCAAUAAAGCUCUGGCUGCGUUUUGCAAAAGAAGAUCUCGAGUUCAUUACAGCUGCUGCCACUGCUGCAGACGAGUCAUACCCAAAACUGGAAGGCUUCCUUGCUGGCGAGGAUGACAAGUUGGAAGGGUAGCUUGCAUGGAAUUGGCUUGUGUUUUGAUGAACCUGAAUCCCAUUUGGAGCCUGCAAUUGAGAUAAUAAUGAAGGAUCAAGCGAUCCAUAAAUAUUAUCAAGAUUAGUGGGCUUCAAAUCUGUAAUUUUGCUGUAUGGGGAUGAGAGAUUAGCCAUCUCAUCAGCCAACUGCCGCCUUUGUUG